AUUGAACGCUGGCGGCAGGCCUAACACAUGCAAGUCGAACGAGUGGCGGACGGGUGAGUAAUGUCUGGGAAACUGCCUGAUGGAGGGGGCUAACUACUGGAAACGGUAGCUAAUACCGCAUACCAUCGGAUGUGCCCAGAUGGGAUUAGCUAGUAGGUGGGGUAAAGGCUCACCUAGGCGGCGAUCCCUAGCUGGUCUGAGAGGAUGACCAGCCAAACGGGAAGUGAGGAACAGUCCAGACUGCUAAGGUAGGCAGCAGUGGGGAAUAGUGCACAAUGGGCGCAAGCCUGAUGUAGCCAUGCCGCGUGUAUGAAGAAGGCCUUCGGGUUGUAAAGUACUUUCAGCGGGGAGGCGUUACCCGCAGAAGAAGCACCGGCUAACUCCGUGCCAGCAGCCGCGGUAAUAC
rnacentral:rRNA from 1 species